rnacentral:rRNA from 1 species
GUUAGGAAUAUUGGACAAUGGGCGCAAGCCUGAUCCAGCCAUGCUGCGUGAGUGAUGAAGGCCUUCGGGUUGUAAAGCUCUUUAGUCCACGAAUAUAAUGACUGUAGUGGAAGAAUAAGCCCCGGCUAACUUCGUGCCAGCAGCCGCGGUAAUACGAAGGGGGCGAGCGUUAUUCGGAAUCACUGGGCGUAAAGCGUGCGUAGGCUGUUUUGUAAGUCAGAAGUGAAAGCCCAGGGCUUAACCCUGGAAUUGCUUUUGAAACUACAAGACUCGAAUUCGGGAGAGGAUAGCGGAAUUGUCAGUGUAGCAGUGAAAUGCGUAGAUAUUGACAGGAACACCAGUGGCGCAAGCGGCUAUCUGGACCGAUAUUGACGCUGAGGCACGAAAGCGUGGGGAGCAAACAGGAUUAGAUACCCUAGUAGUCC